rnacentral:misc_RNA from 1 species
CUUCGGCCGGUCGCGAGUAACCAAAAAAAAAAAUUAAUUUAAUUUAAUACAAAAAAAAACAAUUGAACACUCGACCGGUUUCCACUACACCACGUGCUUCUCUUUUGAUCAUUUUUUUUUUUUUUUUUUUGAUGAUAUGCCCCCCGGUAGUCGUUUGUUUUUUUUUUUGGGGGGGGCCCCCCCGGGACCGCCGCCGGUGUCUUUAAUUAACUUACUAGCGGAUAAGUCGUGGUGAUGUAUGGAGGGUCGUUAUCUCGCCACCCGGACGCACAUCGGACCAAUAAAUCGCACCCCUCCCAGAUGCAUUUUGGACUGAAUAUUGUUUAGAUGGCUGCCGUGACGGACGAGCCUUCGAACCAAGAAGACCGUUCCCGUCCGAACCUGACCCGUUCCAGGAGUCUGCCGCAGUUCUCCCACCACGAUUCGGGCCUGGGCAGUUUCUACGGGGGCUCGGGGGGCGAGGAGGUGCCCGGGUACAAAGGGACCCGCUUCGUGGCCGACCUACGUCAACUGAUUACGCUGAAACAACAUUAUUAUCCCGAGGGAGGCUGGGGCUGGAUGGUACUCUGGACCGCCAUGACGGUGCACGUGUUGGCCAACGGGUUCACGGCAUCGGUGGGGGUUUUCCAGUUGGAAAUCGUCCGGAAGUUCGGUGCCGAUUUCCGCAAACAAACCGAAUGGUUGGGUGCUCUCGCUACCGGAAUUUCCCUGCUGAUUUCCCCCGUGGUGAUCGCCUUCUGCAAGAAAAAGUCCACCAGGGUGACGGCGGUACUGGGCGGACUAAUCCUGGCCCUCGGAUGCCUCUUUACCAGUUUCGCCACCCAGUUUCACCAGUUAAUGUUCAGCUACGGCACAGUGUUGGGCAUAGGAGUGGGAGUGACCAGGGAUUGCGCUAUUCUGAUGGUCGCCCAAUACUUCAAAAGAAGAAGGGAACUGGUGGAGGUGUUUAUCGUAGCGGGAAGCGGUUUGGGCAUAGUCCUGAUGUCCCUAAUGGUCAGGAGCACGAUCAGUUCUUUAGGUUGGCGUCUCGGUUUGCAGACGAUCACCGGCGCCCUGUCCGCCACCUUCUUCCUGGGGAUGUUUUAUCGCUCCGCGUCGCUGUAUCAUCCGCAGAGACGCGCCAUUUUGCACAUCAAGAACCAGAAACGGAAGAUCCGCGAUAAAAAUCGAGCGGACGAUAAAAACACCUUUUUCGACCUGAGCGCGUUGAAAAGCGUCACGGUGAGGAUCCUGCUGGUGUCCACUGCGAUCACCGCGUUCGGCAUUAACACGCCGCUCUUUUGUUUGGCCUAUCAGGCACAGGUGGAAGGUUUAGACGAUUGGGUGAUUUACGUGCAAAUCUACUUGGGUCUGGCCUGGUCCUUAGGUUGUACCAUCUUCAGUGCGUUGGUACUGCACAAAACGAGCGAGUGCAGGAUAGCGAGGCAGUACCUCUGCCAGUCGGCGGUUUUUAUGUGCGGACUCUCGGUACUCGCUUUUACCGUCGUCAAUGACAAUUACCACGCGUACGUCAUGUUCGCCUGGAUCUACGGUUUCUUCUACGGCGGGUACCACUACUCCCUGAAGAUGUACACGUACGAACGCGUACGCGCCCGUCACUUCUCCAGGACGUGGGGCUUUGUGCAGUUCUCCCAAGCGAUCCCCAUCGCCGUGGGAAUCCCCUUGUCAGGAUACCUGAACGACGAGUACGGCAACAGGUCCGGGUACUACUUCAGCUCCGUCUGCACCCUGGUGGGCAGCCUCACCCUCUUCCUCACCGAUUUCCAUCGGUACCGUAUCGCGAAACACAAACACCCGAGGGAAAACGGUACCAGACGAACCGGAGAACGAGCACGGGGCGUAUGGACACGCGGGGGCGGCGGAAACGGCCGCUUUUGUUUUGGGCGGCGAGGCGGCGGCGGCGGCGGUACAAAAUGGCGGCAGGGGAGACAGCGGGGCGGCCGUGUCCGCCGCCGACAAGGGCGAGUUGACUUGUAUAUCGGAAGAAGGUAUAGCGGAUAUGGACCUGCCGGACGACCUACUGGACGACCUGGACUACAUCGGGGACUGUAUCACCUCCUGUAACAAAGUGGAGAAUUAUCUGAUGCUCAGCGAGUUCGAGAAUAAUCUGUUUGCCGAGAUGCCCUCGAUUCUGGAUCGUAGGGGGCGUAGGUGGUCCUUGGCCGGAUUCGUGCACAGCAAAGAGUGCGAACAGCAUCAGGAACUAAAAAACGGCCGUCGGAAAUCCGGCGGCAGGUGGAACCCGAAGGGGAUCAACGCGGUGGACGAGUCCUCGGUGUAAAUUAAUUAA